rnacentral:rRNA from 1 species
ACUCAAAUGAAUAGACGGGGGCCCGCACAAGCGGUGGAGCAUGUGGUUUAAUUCGACGCAACGCGAAGAACCUUACCUACUCUUGACAUCCUCGGAACCUUGCAGAGACGCAGGGGUGCCUUCGGGAACCGAGAGACAGGUGCUGCAUGGCUGUCGUCAGCUCGUGUCGUGAGAUGUUGGGUUAAGUCCCGUAACGAGCGCAACCCCUAUUCUUAGUUGCCAUCAGGUUAUGCUGGGAACUCUAAGGAGACUGCCGGUGAUAAGCCGGAGGAAGGUGGGGACGACGUCAAGUCAUCAUGGCCCUUACGAGUAGGGCUACACACGUGCUACAAUGGGGCGUACAGAGGGAAGCGAAGCUGCAAAGUGAAGCGAAUCUCGUAAAAGCGUCUCGUAGUCCGGAUUGGAGUCUGCAACUCGACUCCAUGAAGUUGGAAUCGCUAGUAAUCGCAGAUCAGAACUGCUGCGGUGAAUACGUUCUCGGGCCUUGUACACACCGCCCGU